rnacentral:rRNA from 1 species
GGGGAAUAUUGCACAAUGGGGGAAACCCUGAUGCAGCGACGCCGCGUGAAGGAUGAAGUAUUUCGGUAUGUAAACUUCUAUCAGCAGGGAAGAAAAUGACGGUACCUGACUAAGAAGCCCCGGCUAACUACGUGCCAGCAGCCGCGGUAAUACGUAGGGGGCAAGCGUUAUCCGGAUUUACUGGGUGUAAAGGGAGCGUAGACGGCUGUGCAAGCCAGAUGUGAAAACCCGGGGCUCAACCCCGUGACUGCAUUUGGAACUGUGCGGCUAGAGUGUCGGAGAGGUAAGUGGAAUUCCUAGUGUAGCGGUGAAAUGCGUAGAUAUUAGGAGGAACACCAGUGGCGAAGGCGGCUUACUGGACGAUGACUGACGUUGAGGCUCGAAAGCGUGGGGAGCAAAC